rnacentral:rRNA from 1 species
GGGGCACUGCGUGUGCCUAUACAUGCAGUCGAGCGGACAGAUGGGAGCUUGCUCCCUGAUGUUAGCGGCGGACGGGUGAGUAACACGUGGGUAACCUGCCUGUAAGACUGGGAUAACUCCGGGAAACCGGGGCUAAUACCGGAUGGUUGUUUGAACCGCAUGGUUCAGACAUAAAAGGUGGCUUCGGCUACCACUUACAGAUGGACCCGCGGCGCAUUAGCUAGUUGGUGAGGUAACGGCUCACCAAGGCGACGAUGCGUAGCCGACCUGAGAGGGUGAUCGGCCACACUGGGACUGAGACACGGCCCAGACUCCUACGGGAGGCAGCAGUAGGGAAUCUUCCGCAAUGGACGAAAGUCUGACGGAGCAACGCCGCGUGAGUGAUGAAGGUUUUCGGAUCGUAAAGCUCUGUUGUUAGGGAAGAACAAGUGCCGUUCAAAUAGGGCGGCACCUUGACGGUACCUAACCAGAAAGCCACGGCUAACUACGUGCCAGCAGCCGCGGUAAUACGUAGGUGGCAAGCGUUGUCCGGAAUUAUUGGGCGUAAAGGGCUCGCAGGCGGUUUCUUAAGUCUGAUGUGAAAGCCCCCGGCUCAACCGGGGAGGGUCAUUGGAAACUGGGGAACUUGAGUGCAGAAGAGGAGAGUGGAAUUCCACGUGUAGCGGUGAAAUGCGUAGAGAUGUGGAGGAACACCAGUGGCGAAGGCGACUCUCUGGUCUGUAACUGACGCUGAGGAGCGAAAGCGUGGGGAGCGAACAGGAUUAGAUACCCUGGUAGUCCACGCCGUAAACGAUGAGUGCUAAGUGUUAGGGGGUUUCCGCCCCUUAGUGCUGCAGCUAACGCAUUAAGCACUCCGCCUGGGGAGUACGGUCGCAAGACUGAAACUCAAAGGAAUUGACGGGGGCCCGCACAAGCGGUGGAGCAUGUGGUUUAAUUCGAAGCAACGCGAAGAACCUUACCAGGUCUUGACAUCCUCUGACAAUCCUAGAGAUAGGACGUCCCCUUCGGGGGCAAAGUGACAGGUGG